CAGGUAUGCAGAAAUAUUGACAGUCAACUUGAGGGUAGUGGUACUCUGAACCAUAUUUAUAUGCAGGAGGAUAAUGCAGACUACUGUCGAGUUGCCACCGCUCCCGAGCGCACCAUGCCAUCAUUGUUCCCGAUGUGGUGCUAUAUUCACCCUCUUUGUUCCCGACCAUAUCCACGCAACAGAGGAGGCCAGAAGAUAAUUGUACUAAUUGUAGUGAUGGUGAUACUGCGAAGACUUCCAAGAGACAUGAGAAAGCUGCUAAGUACAUCGAGCACGACAGCUCCUUCAGCGAGAACUUGAAUUAGAUUAGAUUUAGAAUGGAGCGCAUUGCUACAUUAUUAUUGAUCUUUAAACACGUGCAUGUUGCACGUGCAUCUCCACUAGUGCACAUAAAUAUGAAAACAAUCAUAAAUGACACUUAGUGGACAAGCUUUUUUUUUCUCACGAUAGUUAUUUUGAUAUGACGUACAUAGGAGCCAGCUUGAUUAUUUUUUACUUUUCUUUGUGUCUCUUGGUCAAUCACAUUGUUGUGUA